rnacentral:rRNA from 1 species
UAGGGAAUCUUCGGCAAUGGGGGCAACCCUGACCGAGCAACGCCGCGUGAGUGAAGAAGGUUUUCGGAUCGUAAAGCUCUGUUGUAAGAGAAGAACGUGUGUGAGAGUGGAAAGUUCACACAGUGACGGUAACUUACCAGAAAGGGACGGCUAACUACGUGCCAGCAGCCGCGGUAAUACGUAGGUUCCGAGCGUUGUCCGGAUUUAUUGGGCGUAAAGCGAGCGCAGGCGGUUUAAUAAGUCUGAAGUUAAAGGCAGUGGCUUAACCAUUGUUCGCUUUGGAAACUGUUAAACUUGAGUGCAGAAGGGGAGAGUGGAAUUCCAUGUGUAGCGGUGAAAUGCGUAGAUAUAUGGAGGAACACCGGUGGCGAGAGCGGCUCUCUGGUCUGUAACUGACGCUGAGACUCGAAAGCGUGGGGAGCAAACAGG